rnacentral:rRNA from 1 species
AUGUGGCCUAUAGAUGUACAACGAGUACUCACAAUACCUAUCUUGCAACAUGAUAUGCCAGAUUUCGUCGCUUGGAAUUUCACACAAAAUGAUCAUGAAUUGUGUAUGAUAGGCAUCCAAAAUGUACAUGGAAUGAUUGCCAUAUCAGCCUGGUACAUGUGGUGGGAAAGGCGUAAAUUGAUUCACAAGGAGACAACUCAAAUUGCACACCAGAUUUCAAUGGGAAUCCGAGCUCUUAUGGCCACUUUUGUUACCGCUUCCUCACAAAAGGCCUCCAUGAAAAAAGGGGGAUGGUCUUGCCCUCCGGUAGGGUUUGUUAAACUUAACGUUGAUGCUUCUUUUGACCAUGACUUACUCAGGGGUACGAUGGGAGCAGCCUUAAGAGACGACAAAGGUAGAUUUAUUGCUGGGGGUAAUGGUAAGAUUGACUGGUACGGAGAUGUUCUGAUGGCUGAAGCUCUGGCCCUAAAAUUUGGUUCGUCCCUAGCACAAAGGACAGGAUGCAAUUGCAUUAUUAUUAACUUGGAGAACAUGGAGGUGAUUGAUACCAUGACAGAAGGAGGAUGA